rnacentral:tRNA from 1 species
GUCGCCGUGGUGUAGUGGUAGCCCCCUCGACUCGUAUUCGAGAGGUCCGUGGUUUGAGUCCCGGCGAAGGCG